GCCCCCUACGGGGCGCAGCAGUGGGGAAUAUUGGGCAAUGGGCGCAAGCCUGACCCAGCAACGCCGCGUGAAGGAAGAAGGCUUUCGGGUUGUAAACUUCUUUUCUCAGGGACGAAGAAAGUGACGGUACCUGAGGAAUAAGCCACGGCUAACUACGUGCCAGCAGCCGCGGUAAUACGUAGGUGGCAAGCGUUAUCCGGAUUUACUGGGUGUAAAGGGCGUGUAGGCGGGGAAGCAAGUCAGAUGUGAAAACCACGG
rnacentral:rRNA from 1 species